CAAUAAGCGGAGGAAAAGAAACCAACAGGGAUUGCCUCAGUAGCGGCGAGUGAAGCGGCAAGAGCUCAGAUUUGAAAUCGUGCUUUGCGGCACGAGUUGUAGAUUGCAGGUUGGAGUCUGUGUGGAAGGCGGUGUCCAAGUCCCUUGGAACAGGGCGCCCAGGAGGGUGAGAGCCCCGUGGGAUGCCGGCGGAAGCAGUGAGGCCCUUCUGACGAGUCGAGUUGUUUGGGAAUGCAGCUCCAAGCGGGUGGUAAAUUCCAUCUAAGGCUAAAUACUGGCGAGAGACCGAUAGCGAACAAGUACUGUGAAGGAAAGAUGAAAAGCACUUUGAAAAGAGAGUGAAACAGCACGUGAAAUUGUUGAAAGGGAAGGGUAUUGCGCCCGACAUGGGGAUUGCGCACCGCUGCCUCUCGUGGGCGGCGCUCUGGGCUUUCCCUGGGCCAGCAUCGGUUCUUGCUGCAGGAGAAGGGGUUCUGGAACGUGGCUCUUCGGAGUGUUAUAGCCAGGGCCAGAUGCUGCGUGCGGGGACCGAGGACUGCGGCCGUGUAGGUCACGGAUGCUGGC
rnacentral:rRNA from 1 species